rnacentral:lncRNA from 1 species
GGUGGAUCUGAGGCUACGGCUCCAGGAAGCCGUCUUCCUGUGUGAGGUGGAGGGAGGCUGUGUGGAGAAACAAGCAGGGUGGGUGUUGGGUGUGGGAGGAAGAGAGAGUGAAUCCUGGUGUUAGGGAGUUCUCUCGGAGGCCUGGUUUCUGCAGCUCACUCUUCAGGCAUGUGAAUAGCCCGAGUAUCCUUCCCAGGUGGAUAGCAGUGCGGGAAGCUGGCGUCUGGAAUCACCAUGGUGACUUUGAUUUCUAGCUGUGAGGAAGAACAUGCCCACGUGGCCAUUUCUCCAGCACCAUGGUAUCUAUGGGCACAGAAGAUAUCUGCAGAGAUCAUGGGGGCAGGAUCCGGGAGCAUCCACACUGACAGCUGGACACUUCCUGCCAGUGCAUUCUAGGGAGAGCUGGCCUCUAGCAUCCUCUGUAGUGACCAACAGAAAUUGAAGAUCAAAACAAUACCUUUUGAAAGAAUUGGCAAAGGAAUACAAGAGGACCCGACACCUGGAUGAUGCAGCUCCUGGUGGACAGAGGUCUUCAGAUGGAAUCCCUACCAUGACCUAAAAAACUCUACAAAAUCUGGCUUCGGCUCUCCACGCAUUCCCCUCUGUCCUCAGUGUCUUUGUUCUGGUUCUUGAAAUGUCAGCCAUGGUUUAUGGUCUGUGUCUCCCCUUGAGACUGUCUUCUCCCAGAUAUUUUUUCUUGCUUCAUACUUUGUACACCGCGUACCCUUUUCUGAUUUCUUUUUAUAAAAUAGCAUCCCCCAACCAAUAGUGUUUCUUGACCUUACUUAAUUUUUCAUCUUAACCUCUGACAUAGUAUUACAUAAUUAUUUGAUCAUUUAUUUCUUGCUCUUGUCUCCCACUGAAAUGGAAGACCCACCAGGGCAGGGACAUUACCUACUUCGUGGCUUUAUCCUUCAUGCCUAGAACAGAAUGGCAUAUAGUCCUAGAAUUCUAAAUUGAUGCUCAUUCAUGUGUUCCUCCUGCAUGUUUUCUUUGUGAUUUAAAUUAUGUCUUUCUGCAGGGACAAGAGCUUUGCCUUCUAUUUUUGUUUUAUUUCCUGAAUUUCCUUUGGAUAAUUAAUAAAUAGCUUUGAUCUGCCUUUAUUAUUUCCGUU